rnacentral:lncRNA from 1 species
GAGGUAUCUGAACUGGAAGUCGCCGAGAGCGGUACCUGCAACCAACAGAAGAACGGCUGGCGACGGAUCUUCAAGACAAACCUCCACCGCUGGGGGCGUGGGUGGCUUUAUUCCGAGACGACCGGGGGGAAAGAAGGGAAGCGGCCGCUGCUUGGGGUACAAGGCGCCCACCCGUGGAGGCGCGCACGCGAGGCCUCCCACCGCGCCUGCGCUGCGGCCGGACGCGGGUUCGCCUCUCCCAGACGCCCCGCCGUCCCGGCAGGGGUGAAAAACGGCGUGACACGCAGCGAGCGUGGCCGCCAUCUUCAGCCUCUGGGCACGUCAACGGAGCGGGUUCGGGCAGAAGAAGAGCGUUGCGCAAGCGCGCCCGAGACGGUCUCAGGUAACUCCCAUCUGACGGGCGAGGCGUCGCCGUCGUCGCCGGAAGUUUGGCGUUUCUGUGCCGCGGGAGAGGAGGCGGCAGCGGCAGCGGCAGAAGCAGCUGAGUGUCUGCCGAUACCCGGAUGUGAGACGGUCUGCUGGCUCGCGUCGGACCCUCGGCCGGGAGCGAGGAAGGUAGGCGAGCGUCCCGCCCGCCCCGCCGCCUCUGUCGUCCUCGUCUCCCUGCUGCCAGCCCCUCCAGAGAGCCGAACGCCUCUCCCCUUUCCCGUCCCAUCCUCUGGGUCGCGUCGCCUCGCACGCCUUUCCUCCUCCUCGGGUCCCGGCUCCGGGCGCCCCCGGGAGGGAGUGGGCGGUUCCGGGACGCGGUCGCCUGAAGCAGGCAAUCAACCUGCGCGGCUCGGCUGCUCGGCCGCCGCAUCACCUGCCGCGGCCCGCUGGGCGGUCGGAGGUAUUGAGGGGCCGUGGCCAGGGUCUCGCCUGGGCUUCUGGAGCCCCGUGGCGGCGUGCAGCCAUUGCGGCGGCCGGGGCGGUGUCGGCCCGCAGGUAGCCGGGCCUCGUUCCCGUCUUCUCCCCCGAAGCCGCUGCUCCAGCCUCGGCGGAGCUGCGGUCCUGCGGCUCGCUCUGCUGCCCGCAGCCCACCCGCUGACCCGGCGUGAACCCCGAGGCCUCUGCAGUCUGCGGUUGGGCUGUGGGGAUCCCGGCUUCACGAUCCUUAGCCUGGGAGGGGAGCGGUGGCCCUGGUCCAAGGUCAGAGAGGGAUUCUGGUUGGAACCGAGGAUCUGGGCGCAGGCCGGGCUGCUCUGGAGUAGAAAUUGGGUUUGUUGA